rnacentral:rRNA from 1 species
UACAGGGGGCGCGAGCGUUGCUCGGAAUCACUGGGCGUAAAGCGAACGCAGGCGGACUGUUAAGUCGAAUGUGAAAUCCCGGGGCUCAACCCCGGAAGUGCAUUCGAAACUGGCAGUCUUGAGUACGGGAGAGGUGGGUGGAAUUCCUGGUGUAGAGGUGAAAUUCGUAGAUAUCGGGAGGAACACCAGUGGCGAAGGCGGUUGCCUGGAGCUUUGCUGACGCUGAGGCGCGAAAGCGUGGGGAGCGAUCCGG